GCCAGGGGCUGUAUCGCCUUGCAGCUCACAGCUGGCAGCCCACUGAAGCUCAGCGGGUGUGAGCCUGGCCAGUACCUGGAUGGGAGACCUCCUGGGAAAGCUAAGGUUGCUGCUGGAA
rnacentral:rRNA from 1 species